UAUGCCCUAAUCACUCCUACGUUUCUCAUCUCUCUCACACGCGCACACACACAACUACUUCCUCUCAUCCUCCUCCCUCACGGACGAUUUUGUUCCUCCCAUUCCACGUUGUACCGCCUGAAAUCCAAAGUCGCCACCGGCGAUUGACGAACGUCGACUAUUUCAUUCUCACCAGGUGAUCAAAGAAAUAACAGGAGACCAAAGAAAGAUUUAAAGUUAAUUGCCAACAGUAAAGGGAAAAAAAUUCUCAAUUGAGGCAGACAGGACAGCAGAGAAACAUCAAAAUUGCUAAUCUGCAAGGGAACCAAAAAAAGAAAAAGAAAAAAGGAGGCCCCGGCGUACCCAUGGCGUACCCACGCCGUACCUGAAUGAACCAAACGUACCGGAUCCCCUUUCGCAGUACCCGGUACGCGUACCCAUGACGUACCCAUGCCGUACCCAAAUGAAACAAACGUACCGGACGCCCUUUUGCCAUACCCGGUACGCGUACCUGCACCCGGCACUCGUACGACACUAUUUUUGAAGUACCCGUGCUUCAUAGUUUAUACGUUUAUAACAAUUCUUGUGUUUUUCAGAUUCUUUGUUAUCUUAAUUGAUAUGUAGUGAAAUUUGCUGGUAACAAAAGAGUACUAAGCUCCUGAUCAGGAAGCUUCCAUUCAAGAGGCUUGCCGUGAAACUGCUUAGGACUUGAAGAUGUUUUGAGGGCAGAAGAUGGAAACCAAACACACACUAAUUGAAGAGAAUGAGAUUCAGAUUAAGAGCGAGUCUACUUCAGGUUAUUGGACCUUCUCUCUCGCACCUUUUAAACGAGUGAUGGGGGCUAUUUAACUUGCAAUCCCAGUCCACUCAAAUAUGAUUUCUACCGCGAAUCUUGCCCCCAAGCUGGGCAAAUCAUCCGAUUAAAGGUUCGUCGUCUCUACGAAGUCUACUCCAAUGUCUUUGAGCAUUAUUGCGGCUCAUCUUCCAUGAUUAUUUCAAUGAGGUGAAAUUUCUUGUUCUUAAUUCUUGAUAUUUAUUUUUUCUUCCUAAAUUUUUCUCAAGGAAAAGAAAUCCAUGGUUUUUUUUUUGUUUUGUUUUUGUUUUCAAUGAAUGUCCUUUACCUUUUGCAUGAAUUUUGUUAUUUGUCAAUUGGCUUGAGCCCUCCAACUUCUUUCUCUAAUGUUAUUGCAAUUCAAAUUCUGUGUUAUUUAUUCUGGAUUGCUUUGUUUGGUGACUCGGGAAACUCAGGAAAACAAAAGAAAUUGAACACUGAAAAAGGAUUGGCAAGUAGUUAGCAACUCAAAUACUUCAAUACCAAGAGAAUUUUACAAUUUAGAACAAAUUAAGUGUUCUCAAAUAAAUUUGGAUAUGUGGAGCGGACUUCUGCCUCCCGUUCUCACGUUGCUUCCUCAACCCCAUGGUGUCUCCACAACACCUUCACUAAUGGUAUAGUCUUACCCCUCAACACAUGUUCUCGGGUGUCUAGUAUUUGAACCGGCCGUUCUUCAUAUGAGGCAUCUUCAUCUACCUCCAAGUUAACCCAAUCAUGCACAUGCGAAGGGUCGGGUUCAUACUUCUUAAGCAUAGACACACGGAAUACGUCAUGAACUCCAGCAAGUUAUAGCGGUAAGGCUAAACAGUAUGCCACUUUCCCAAUUCGCUUCAAUAUCUCAAAAGGUCCAAUAAACUUUGGAGAUAAUUUCCCACUCUUACCAAAUCUCAUCAAACCCCACCUUGGUGAAAUUUUAAGAAACACAUGGUCGCCAACCUUGAAAGAUAGAGGUCGUCUUCACUUCUCAGCAUAACUCUUCUGUCGACUUUGAGCUGUAACUAACUUCUUUCGAAUGAGAGCAACUUUCUUGGUCGUCUCUCUAACAAUUUCUAGGCCUAACAUCGGUGUAUCGGCCACCUCGGCUCAACAAACUGGUGAUCUACAAGGUCGGCCAUACAAGGCUUCAAACAGUGCCAUCUCGAUACUAGUCUGAUAACUAUUGUUAUAAGCGAACUCGAUCAACGUUAGAUGCCUCUCCCAAGACCCCUUGAAAACAAGGACACAAGCUCUCAGCAUGUCCUCCAAAAUUUGGAUAGUGUGCUCCGAUUGCCCGUCGGUUUGAGGAUGGUAAGUUGUGCUAAAGGUCAACUUAGUUCUCAACGCGUUUUGUAGGCUUUGCCACAACUGGGCGGUGAAACGAGGGUCUCUAUCGAAGACUAUGGUGACCGUAACCUCAUGAAGUCGGAUUAUAUCUUAAAUGUACAACUUUGCCAAAUAAUCAACUGAGUCACUGGUGCGCAUAGGAUUGAAGUGUGUGGACUUAGACAAUCUAUCAAUGACCACCCAAACGGCAUAAUUGCCCCGUUGUGUUCUAGGAAGCCAAACUACAAAAUCCAUGGUAAGAUGCUCCUAUUUCCACUUAGUUAUCGGUAAACUUUGUAACAAACCCGCUGGCUUUUGGUGCUCGGCCUUCACUUGUUGACACGUAAGGCAUUUCGAAACAAACAGAGUGACGUCACGCUUCAUACCCCUCCACCAAACCUGACAGCUAAGAUCAUGAUACAUUUUUGUGCCUUCCGAAUGUACCGCAAGGCGUAAAUGAUUAAAUUAUCGGAGAACCUCUUCUCUACAAGAUUCCAGAUUGUAUGUUCAAACCCUUGAGUUGGAAAUCCGAGUGUGUGUUCAAACCCUUCUCUUUCUUCCCGUUGGAGAUCCUAUCAUGGAUUGUCUCCACCUCACGGUCACCUUGUUGUGCCUCUAUGACCUUACUAAUCAAGGUGGGUUGUGCAAUCAAAGUAAAUAAGGUAGCACCCUUGUUGGACUCAUCCAAAUGCAAAUUGAAAUUAUCGAUAUUGCCUAGCAUUACCCAUUCCCUAAUGGCCACACUUGCCAAACUACUCACAGAUUUCCGACUCAAGGCAUCGGCCACUACAUUGGUCUUUCUCGGAUGAUAGUGUAACUCGAAGUCAUAAUAUUCCAUGAAUUCCAUCCAUCUCCGUUGGCGUAAAUUCAAGUCUUUUUAGGAAACAAAUACUUUGGACUUUUAUGGUCAGAGAAAACAUCAAACUUCUCACCAUACAAAUAAUGUCUCCAAAUCUUUAAAGCAAAAAUUACCGCCACUAACUCUAGAUCAUGGGUGGGGUAGUUUUUCUCAUGAGUUUUCAAUUGUCGUGAACCAUAGGCCACAACCUUCCCCUCUUGCAUCAACACACAACCAAGCCCAUCCCGGGACGUAUCACAAUAAACGGUGUAACCCAAGCCUCUUUCCGAAAUUAUCAAAACCGGUGUGGUGGUCAACCUAUUCUUAAGUUCUUGGAAUGACUUCUCACAAGUCUCGUUCCACACAAAUUUAGUACCCUUUCUCGUCAAUCUAGUCAAAGGUGUGGCUAGUCUAGAGAAAUCUCUUAUGAAAAGACGAUAAUACUCGGCUAGCCCUAGGAAACUCUGGAUUUCAAAUGCAUUCUUAGGUUGCUCCCAAUCUUUCAUGGCCUCUAUUUUAGAAGAAUCCACCGUUAUCCCAUCUCCCGACACAACAUGCCCCAAAAACUUUCCUUCCGUCAACCAAAAUUUACAUUUCUCAAAUUUCGCAUACACUUGGUGCACUCUAAGUAAGUCAAGCACAAUCCGCAAGUGUUGUUUGUGUUCCUCCUCGGAGGCUGAAUAAAUCAGAUGGCGUCCACAAAGACAACUACAAAACGGUCCAAAAAUUCUCGGAAGACUCGAUUUAUCAAGUCCAUAAAGGAAGCCGGUGCAUUGGUUAAACCGAAAGACAUAACUAAAAAUUCGUAAUCUAUAACAUGUGUGAAAUGCCGUUUUCUGGAUGUCCUCCUUCCUAACCCUUAACUAGUGAUACCCCAAUCUCAAGUUCAUCUUCAAGAAGCAACUAAACCUUUUAAGUUGGUCAAAUAAGUCAUCUAUUCUGGGUCAAGGGUACUUGUUCUUGACUGUAAUUUUAUUCAGUUUGCGGUAAUCAAUACCCAACCACAAGGACCUGUCAUUCUUCUUUGCAAACAGAGCCGGUGCUCCCCAAUGUGAUGUACUAGGGCGAAUGAAGCCCUUGUCUAGAAGUUCUUGGAGUUGGAUCUUCAACUCAUGCAACUCGACGGGUGCAAAUCUAUAAGGUGCCAUGGAAAUUGGUGUCGUGCCAGGCACUAAGUCAAUGGAGAAUUCAAUCUCCUGAUGAGGUGGCAACCCAGUAAGAUCUUCAAGGAAAACAUCAGGGUAUUCACAAACUGCCAUUGGCAAAUCAUUCCGAACCAUGCUACCCUCACUAGCUAAGGAGAUAGCAAAAAGAAAAUUAAGUCCUCAUCGACCCUUAAGGUCAAACAACGGGGGAAUCAAACCGUCAACCCGAUCACACCGAAAAUGAAAACAAUCCCCGGUGGGUGUACAUACGAACACUCUGUGUCGUUGACAAUCUAUAGUAGCUCGGAAAUGUGCCGACCAAUCCAAGCCCAAAAUAAUAUCAAAAAUAUGCAUGCCUAAGAUGAUGAAGUCAAAAGAGAGUCAAUGAUCUGCGACCUCAAUCUCGCGAGAGUUGCACACUCGCCCCAAUGCCACUCUCCUUCCAACCGGUGACUCAACUCACAACGGCGACUCCAACUGCUCAACCUCUAACCCCAAUGCAGUAGCAAAUGCAAUAAAUAUAAAUGAAUGCGACGUACCUAUAUCAAUCAACACAUUUGCCAACGAAUUGAACACAACAAAAUUACCUCUCACAAUAGAGGAUCCUGGCAACUGCUCCGACGCUGUAACAACAUACAUGCGUCCCUGUGGCCUCUAAUCAACCUGCUCAUCUCUCGAAGCAUAAGCCUGUUGUACUGACUAAGCCAUGGUGGCUCCCUAAUUAGCUUUGGUGGCCUGAACUGAAUGAGCUUGCUUGCGGCUUUGAGUCUGCCUCGACCCUGAGGCUCUAGGUGCGCCUCCUAACUAUGGGCAAGCUCUCCUCAUGUGGCCCGACUGACCACAUUGAAAACAUCUAGGCCAUUAUCCCCUACUCUGGGAUUGACUCUGAGAUCGGUUAGGUGGUGGUGGUGGUAGUGGUGGCAAGAUCUGCUGCCCUCCUCCCUUUUGUGGGCUGGAAUUGGCCUGGUGACCCGGUUGGCUACACUUGGAACAUAAGAAACUGCUCGGAGCAUUCUUUCUCGGGCCCGCAGUAGGCAAAGGAAAAGUAGAUCUAGACUGCUGUGGCUGGAGCUGGGAUGAAGAAGUGCUCCUGUUCUUCUUGCUGGGUCUAAAGUUCCCCUAUGACUCUUGGCUCCUAGACCUCUAACCCCGAAGUCUCUCCUCCUUGGCCUGCACUAUAAUCUCUACAUGUGUUGCCGCCUCCACAAGAUGGUCAUAGUUCUGGAUCAUGUUUCCAACAACCUUGAAUAGAAUCUUAGUUCUCAACUUCUUCUCGAACUCUAUGCAACGAUGCUCCUUCGUUGCUACUAGCUCCGAUGCAAAUCGGGACAAGCUAGCAAAUCGGGACAAGCUAGUGAAGGUCACUUCAAAUUCGGCCACGGAUAUAUUUGAAUUGGAAAGUAGUAACAAAAGCUUCCCAAGUCGGUUCCACCCUAUCCUUAACAUACUUCUACCAUUGGCCCGCAUCCUCUUUGAGAUAGUAUUUUGCUAGAGUCACCCUCAACUUACUAUCUUCAAUGUGAAGUAUCUCAAAUGUUUUCACUGUUUGCUCCAACCAUUCAUCUGCUUUUUUGGUCUCUGGAAUCCCAUGAAACUCAUUCGGUUUAGCUUGCAAAAAUUCCUGAGUAAGGAAGGCUGCUCUAGUCUCUACGGCAUUUUCCCGGGCUUGAUUCUCUGCUCUCAACAUGUUCAUCGAUCCCCUCAAGGCCUCCACCAUCUCUCUAGCUAAGGCACCCAUAGCGGCUUGACCCGCUUGCUCGGGGACUCCUACUUGCCCCUUUUGCUAGGCCACGUUAGCCGGGCUUGCUUGUUCGACAACAUUAGCUUGACCGAACCCCUCCUCUUGCACUGGAACCUCAUGAACUGACACCUCAUGAACACCUCGGUGAGGCCUAUCACGUCUCCCGCCUCUACCACCACACGCAUGAAAUCCUUUUGACAUCAAGGACAACAAUAAACAACUUAGCAAAAUAACACGUAUGUGCUUGCAAUUUCAUCUCACACGUCACAUCACAAUAAUUUUGUAAGUUCCCAUUUCAUAUAAACACUCUGUUUCACUCCAUGUGAACACAUUAGUCACAUAAUCACAUACAAAUUACUCCUUUACGAUGAAAUUUGUCUUGUGAAAUACCGAGAGUUUCUAUCAAAAUGAGCAUUGAUCAAAUGCCUUUCUAAUAAGACUUCAACGAAUUUAAUAAGCGCAAACAACCUAAACGUUCAAUCACAUACUCAUCUAGUCACAUAAACAUGUUAUCACAUAACACUUCAAUCAUGGAACAUAGUUUAACAAAAUAAAUCCAUUGUGGAAAAACAACCACUUCUCGCGAGCCCCAAGCAUUCAAACCCGGUAGUUCUGAGACCAAAUUGUCACACCUCAAAAAUCCCCACACUAGAUAUUCACCAACUCCCAUUAUUAAACAUAAACAUGAGAAGUGCUCAAUGUUAACAUCGUCUACAAAUCUCCAACAUUUUUAUUCAUUAAUCAUUAAGAGAUUUACAAAAGAUAUUACACAUGCAAAUAUACAUUCAACAUCCCUAGUAUAUGAAUCUUUAGCAUGUGGUAUGGCAGUUCAAUACAGUUAAAUGCCCUCAAGGGCUACAAUUUCCAAGGCUUAAGCGGGUUACACAAAAAUGGUUUCAAUCCAUACACAUAAAUCCCUUGGCUGGCCAAAAUAAUUACAACAAAAGAAAAGAGUCUCGUGCUCUCAAAACAUAUUACACCCCUUUAAUUUGGCGGAAUCACCACAUUUUUUCUUGCACAAAAUCCCAUAGGAUGAGCACAAAGCCCAGUAGGAAAAUCUUAACAAAGUAUAUACAUUUUAUACAAUCUCAUAGGAUGAAUGCAAAUGCCAUGUUACGUUCAAAAACAUAUAUCACUAUCCUUGGAAACCCUUGUGCACAAUGCAAUUCUUAAAAAAAAAAUUAACAAUUCAAUAAUUUCAAUAUAGUUCAAAGGGGGCAGUAAAUACGACUCAGAUAAUCUCUAAGUUGGUGUUUGCAAGUAGGUAUAACUAGCACUACUGAAUCCCCACUUUACCAGUAGCUAACUGAAAGGCACGUGGUACCUCUUCUGCCUGUGUUUUCAGUCUUUCACCUUGGACACUUAGGCUACUUAAACAAUACCAAUCUACACUUUUAUCCGGACUUACCAAACGUAUUUACCCUAACAACAAAUCAAUAUGACCCGGUUUCAUAAACAAUUUCUUUCUCAAUGCAAUAGUUUUCAAAUCUCAAUUCGAAAUCCAUAAUAACCAAAUGAAAUGGAAUGCUAAUGCAAGAUGUAUCAAUGCAUAAAAAAAAUGUUUUCAUUUUCAAUUUCAUCACACAAUCUUCUAUUGUGAUCAAGUUUCCAUUUCUCAAUUCCACCACACAGUCUUUCAUUGUGAUCAAAAUUUCUACAUCUUUUCUCAAUGUAAUUUCACAGAAUAUAUAUAUACAUAUAUAUGUCUAUCGAGGAAUCAAUCACAUUACCACAUUAUAUGCAUUUUCCACAUGUUAAUCAAUAUUUUCAGCUUGGUCAUCUCAAGACCAGUCAAUAUUAUGCUAUACAACAAGCUUCAAAACCAACCAUUUCUCAUAUUCCAAGAGAUUUCUCAUUAUAUGCUAAAAUAAAAAAAAAAGUAUCCUCAAUCAUUCAUCACUAUAACACUUUAUCAAAACCAAAAUCUUAGGAAAUCUCAACCCCUUUUUCCCAAAAUCCCCAAUUUCUAAGUUUUCACCAAAAUUAGAUAUUUCCCCCAUUUUUGAAAGGGUUUUUCUAAGACAACAAUCCUCCUUAACAAUAUAGUUCAACCCCCAAGAGUUUUUAGAAAACAAAGGGUAAACCCAUUUUUAAACCAUCAAGCACUCAUAGACCAAAAUCAAGUUCAAUACUACAAGAGGGAGUUCCGAAAUCAACAUAUUCUUGCAAAAAUGUAUAUAUAACUCCAAGAAAAUCUCCAUUUCAAGUUCUUGAAGAAAAGAGAGAAGAAACCCCAAAAAUCAACGAUGUUGAAACCCGAUUUUCACCGUACAAAACAUAACCCUCGAAGAGUUCUCUAACUUUGAUGUAGGGACUAAGGUCAAAAUUUUAAUGGAUUUGGAGAAAUCGAGAGUUUAAUGUAGUUUGGUGAGCGAAAAGUAGGGAGAGGGGGGAGAAAUGUGUUUUUAGAGAGUGAUAGAUAAGAGAAAAGUGAGAUACACUCAGCCCAAGGAGAAGAAAAGGAGAAAAAUUUCAGACUUAGCACUUUCCGCACGUGCAUGCCUUCUUCUGCACGUGCGGUCGUUUCCAGCACCUGCCUCCACAUGUGCAAUUAAAGUAGCCUUGCAUCAUCGGCUGUCUCACCUCACCGCAUAUGCGGCCCAAGCCCCUGCACGUGCGGUUCUGCCCUCCGCCCAAAAAAUACACUAGCUGAAAUUGAGACACCCCUGAUCCAAUUUCACGCCUUUCGAAACAAGCGAAACUUAACUCAGGAAUAAAAUAAAGACGAUAAUCUGAAGAAAGUUCCAAGAACGGUGAACCCAAACGGUCGACAAGAUCUCAAAUUAAUCCCCGACACUCCUAACACGAGUGGGCUAAUCACAAAUAUAAAGGAAAACAACACGGUUUAUGUACCCUAUCAUCACAGAUUACAUCCCAGCCAUACUUCAAAUAUAAAGCCACACUGCAAACAUAUUAAUGUCCUUAAAACACACAACAAUCAUUAAACUUGAGAUUGCCAAUCCAAAAAAAAAAAAAACAUUAACAUAAGACAGAACAAUAAG